GUUUGGGAUUGUUUCAAUGCAUUAUUUAUUUAUUCUUUUUUAGACAGACAAGCCACUGAGCCAAUCGUCACCUCUCUGCUCUGUGUGCAGCUAAGCACUGUGGGCUGAGCAGAUGCAAGUUUCUUUACCCGGGCUGGGAAGGUUACAAAAGCUACUAAGGCAAGGCCAUGACGCUGUUCAAGAGGAGACUUUUGGAGGAGAAGCUGUGAGAUAAAGAGCUUGGACAUGAACAUUUUACAGUAACCCAACAAAAAAUAAAAAGGCAGUUUUAAAGACGCUCUUUCGCAGGAUUAAUUGAUGCCAUACAUGGGUGAGAAUAAGUGUUUUGCAUCACCUGCCCUCUUCUUCAAACCCCACAGUAAGGCCCAGCACAGAUUCAGAAAGGUAUGACUGAUGUAACGCAACUGGUGGGAAAAAGAUGGCAAAUACCAUGUUCAAGUAAAAAUAUAUGUCCUUCAGUUGGUUUCAUUUGUACACUGCUGUAACAUUUGUUGUAACAACAUAUGUAGGAUAUAUAUCUAUAUAUAUGUGUGUGUGUGUGUGCAUGUAUAGGAUUUGUACACCCCCCUCCUUUCCCCAGGGGGGAGUAAUGCACCAGUGGCUGCUGGCCAAACCAUAGAAACAAAUUUAAGAGACUUAAUAAUCCAAGAACAUACAGUUUCUCUGAUUAUUACAUGAUUUUUUAAAGACAUGAGUUAAAGAAAGAAAAUAAAAACAACUUUAAGAGGAAUAAUAACUUCAUAAAAUAAUAUCUUCAUUUGUCAGAAACAUCUAAUUUCUGAGAAGUCUUACAAAACUUUGGCUAAACUAAAAGAAUCUGAGGAUACUCGGUUAGUCAUUCUCAUAGUGACUCAAAGUUGGUCAUUAAUUAACAGUAUGUUAACAUUACAUUGACAGGGAAAGGCUCCGCACAAACUCGCGCCACGCACGCUCACACGCACGCGGAACAGCUUAAGUUUCGUUUCUGCAGAGGACACCGCCCAUGAAGAAACUAACGGGCUUCCUUAUCCACCAUUGCACAGCUGCCUUUUCCCGGGAAGCCAUCACUGAGAUGUCUCUCAGUUGAUUUUCUCUCCAAGUCCGUCUCAUCAGCCUCGUUUCACGGUCAUACGGAGGAGUCCUCACGGAUUUUAGAGAGGUAAGAGCCGUUAUGUUCUCUCUGUUAAGGUACAGAAGUUACAAUAACUUAAUUUAAAUAAAAAAUAUAAAUAUAAAAUAAUAAUUCAGCGUGAUAUGAGAGCCGGCUUAGAUGAUUCCUGGAUUUACUGCUUUUGCCUCUGAGUUUUAAGUAAAAGGUGUUCAAAGUUUUAACUCUUUACCUUUAAACUGAAUUUGCUCAAAGGCUGCGUGAGGCUGGACAUGUCAGUGUUGGUAAUGAGUGUAAGCAGGGGCGGAUCUAGAAAAAUACUUAUGGGGUGGCAAGAGGGGGGCAGGAAUUUUUGAGGGGUGGCAACAUAUGGCAGAUAUAUACUGAGUUUGAUCAAUACAAAAAGGCAUGGCUGCCAUUUACAAACAUGACAGACAUUCUUCGUCCAAUACAAUCUUUCUUUUAUUAGGAUUCUCACACCAGUAAGAUUAAUACGAUGAGGCAUGUAAAAAUAAAAACAACAACCCAUUGCAGCUCCAUGGAUUUAGACCAGUGUCACAUUUUAAACCUUUCUUUCUCAUAUGCAAGCAUGAAAAUGGGUCAGGGGUUGAAAAGGUGAGAAGGGUGCGGAGGAAAUACGUUCCGGUACACUGUACAACCCAACAAAAUAUUGAGCUCUGUUCACCCACAUUGUGUUUCAGUGAUCUGCAGGAGGCGGCAAAAACACUCCAAGUCACACCUGCUUGCUUUUUUGCAGAUGCCUGCUUUUGCUAUUUUAGAUGGCUCAAAACCAGGGCCGUAGCCAGGAUUUUGGAAUAGGUGAGGUCCAUGAUGCGCGCGCAGAGCGCGCGCUGAAAUUUUUUUUAAUGUUUUUUUUUUUAUUACAAUUUUUUAGGCUACAAGUCACACAAGAUGUUUAUUGUUUAAAUAUAUUUUAUUUAUUUUAAUUUUUUUUUUUAUUCCAUCCUCCUCCGUGUGCCUCUGCUCCCCUUCCAUCUCUGAAUGACUCUCCUCUCUCUGCCUAACUUUCCCUAUUCUCUCUUCCAUCCUCCUUGGUUGCAUGUUUACUAUCUUCCUCUUUGUCAAUUUCUUUCUUUUUCUUUGCCAGAAAUGCAUCCAGGGUAUUCUGUUUUAAUCUCUUGAACAUGUUUGCCCUGCUCUCUGUGACUUGUUUUCUGUGGAAUGGGUAUAUUAAAAUUAAUAUGAGCUGCAAACUUGCUAGAUAAACUGAACAUUAAUAUCUAAAAGUGCCCCCUCUAACUUUUUAACCCAUAUGUACUUUCACUUACCAAAUGAUUUCUUGACGUUGACAUAUAAGGUACUCAGAAGGUCUACUAUUUUUUACUGUUUUUAAACUGUUGGGUUUAUUUUGUAGCGGCUUUAGAAGAGUGCUAUGAUGCAAACGUGUACAAAUAACUAAGACGUCGCCUGAACUGCACUAAACAAAGCAAACGUCACGUAACUCGAGGUCCUCGAGUAGUCGCAUCAUCGUGACGCGUACUCGGCCAGCUGAUGAGCCGGGCGCUCAUCAAAAAAGAAAAUAAGCGCCGGGCGCGCUCUCCGCUGUGGAUAAAAGUAAAUAAACUGGCUUUGAUCAGAUGAUUUGACAGGCCGAACUAUUGCCGAAUUAUCUAAAAUAUAUAUAUUGUGGUCACCUAGGUGUAGAUGGGCGGGGAUUUGGUCUAUGAAGUGCUAAUAAUAAAAAUACUUUAGUUUUUGAAUGGGUUUCACAGGGCGCAGUCGCGGGUACGUGCAUCAGCUGAUCAAACAGCUGUUCACCGCAACGCGCACACAGGCACAAACAGAACACAAAGCCCAUGGAUGUUUACCAUAAUUUACAAGCACGUUUCACAGAGAGGUUUCAAGUUUUUAUAAGUUUAUGUUUUAUUCAGUUGGGCGUAUUUGGCGAAAAAAAAACUCGGAAAAAAUAGGUGAGUCAAGGUAAAGAACAAUAAACUUUCGGGACAGCAAAUAUUCUGAAUCAGAGGGCUAUUGAUUUCGGCUAAUCUGUAUAACCUGAAUGAAAUCAUUAAAGGCACACGCUUUUGAAUCCGUCCAACGGUAAGGAAAACUUCGAUUAUUUCGCCUUGUUACGUACUUUCAACCGCGCUCUCGUCAGGGGGGCAUUCUACGGCAGGGGUGCAUUCUACAGCACAACACCGGCGUUCUCGCAGCUUUGCAAUGCUACCACAGGCUCUCCAAGUACUCCAAGUACACGUGAAGAGUGUGCGCAUGAUUGGUUCUCGUCAGCAAAGCAGCCAGGAGGAUUUGCUGACCGUCCAAGUGUCAUUUUAAGGGCCGAUUUCUGAAGUGUUCAGUUUACGUAUUAAGUCAAUCACAUGAUAAUUAAAAAAUAAAUAAAUAAAUCUCCCGACCCCAACCCCC
rnacentral:lncRNA from 1 species